rnacentral:tRNA from 1 species
CCAGGGUUGGCCGAGCGGUUGAGGCAGCGAACUCAUAAUUCGCGCAAGGCAGGUUCGACUCCUGCACCCUGGA